rnacentral:tRNA from 1 species
GGGUGGCCGAGACUAGGCGGUGAGUUGUAGCCUCAUGAACGGAGGUAAAGGCCCUCCUACUA